GUCGAACGGGAUCCAUCGGGCUUUGCUUGGUGGUGAGAGUGGCGAACGGGUGAGUAAUGCGUGACCGACCUGCCCCAUACACCGGAAUAGCUCCUGGAAACGGGUGGUAAUGCCGGAUGUUCCAGUUGAUCGCAUGGUCUUCUGGGAAAGCUUUCGCGGUAUGGGAUGGGGUCGCGUCCUAUCAGCUUGACGGCGGGGUAACGGCCCACCGUGGCUUCGACGGGUAGCCGGCCUGAGAGGGCGACCGGCCACAUUGGGACUGAGAUACGGCCCAGACUCCUACGGGAGGCAGCAGUGGGGAAUAUUGCACAAUGGGCGCAAGCCUGAUGCAGCGACGCCGCGUGAGGGAUGGAGGCCUUCGGGUUGUAAACCUCUUUUAUCGGGGAGCAAGCGUGAGUGAGUUUACCCGUUGAAUAAGCACCGGCUAACUACGUGCCAGCAGCCGCGGUAAUACGUAGGGUGCAAGCGUUAUCCGGAAUUAUUGGGCGUAAAGGGCUCGUAGGCGGUUCGUCGCGUCCGGUGUGAAAGUCCAUCGCUUAACGGUGGAUCCGCGCCGGGUACGGGCGGGCUUGAGUGCGGUAGGGGAGACUGGAAUUCCCGGUGUAACGGUGGAAUGUGUAGAUAUCGGGAAGAACACCAAUGGCGAAGGCAGGUCUCUGGGCCGUUACUG
rnacentral:rRNA from 1 species